CCCCUCAGAAUAAUGCAACUGCAUUUUUCUUAGUGGCACUAUGAUGAAUUAAUCACGCAGUAACCUGACUCAGCAAUGAUCAAGUCCCUAUUCAAGGUUAGCAGAUACCUUGUAUGAUGCAAACUCGAAGCAUCAGAAUUUGCAUCAAAAUAGAUGUCAUAACACCAGAAUACCUCGGGUCAACAAAAGCAAAACUCAGUCAGUUUGACUUGGAUUACUCAUGGUAGGCAACCCUUCAAGGUGGAGUAUUCCAAGAUGCAGAAGCUGCAAAUCCUCAGAGUACACUUUCAUACAAUCCAAUCGCCCUUUCAAUUCAAAGAGGCGAUUAUUCAUUAGCAAUCCCAACUUGCUUUUGGCAUCCUCUCUCUCCAUAAUCAUACUUGAGGUAGUGUUACUUGAAAGUUGGUAAGCAGACCAGCAAUAAUCAUCAAUUUUCAUGCCAUUUAACCUAGCAACAGGGAGAAAGAAAGCACAUUUUCAAACUUGCUCAUACUGAAGCAAUGAAAUAGAAGAAUCUUUAAAUGAUAAAGAUAGCUGAGUAUCAAUAAGGUUGCACCAUUUCUUUAGUCAGAAGAAAAGUUGCACUUGGGACGAGAAGGAAAAAAACUAAUGAAAAGGAAUUUCACUCUUUAGCAAGUCUGUUGUAGAGUUCUUCCAGACAGCAACACAAUAAGAUAACUACUUUAGCAAUCUCAAUUCCUCUUAAUGGCAUCUCUUCAUCAGAAGAAUUUGUUCUCUUGUCUAACAAAGAUGAGAAGGAAAAGCGGAUAGGUAAAGGAGGCUGCCAAUGAUUCACAUCCAACUCAGUCUAAAAAGCUAUAUUCCCAUUACACUCACGCAUACCCUCUCUCUCUAUAUCCAUUGGAUUGGUAGGAUUUCUUUUCUGUCUUUUGUUUUAAAAAAGAGCAGGGUAGAAAGUGAUCGAUUAUAAGUAUCCCUACCAACACGCGACAUAAACAGCCCCUAAGUUAAGAUCAUGGUGUUAGAAUGAGCAGCAUGGAAACAGGCAAGCAUGCUGUUCAUUUUAAUUUACCAAAACCUCCAAUACAGAAAACAAACUACACAACUUGGUACUCUUGGUGCAACAACAACACAAAUUCCAGAAACUCAAAUUCGGUAUCUAAAAUGGAAAGUGGAGUUUUAUAUUGUCAAUAUCUAAAUACGUUUCAAGUGUUCAACUAAAUGCUCCAAUUUUCAGAGAGUACUACGAGCACAUAAUCCACUUACUCUCCAAGUCCAUCUCUACUAAUGUCUCUACCAACUUGAUUUAUUCUACUGAAACUUGAAAUUUUCCAAAAGCAUGGAAGUGAACACUGGCAUGGAGGUGAUCAAGUCAAUCUAAGCAAUAACCAUGCGAUGGACAAAGGACUUAGAGCAGAAAAGCAUCAGAAAAGCCUUAAUACCAAUUUGUAGCUAUACUUGCCUUUUUACUAUAGUUUGCAGCUCUGCGUCAUUCUCCACUCUAAAGAAGGCAUCUACAGCAUCCUUACCUGCCUUAGCCAAUCCCUCCAGUGCACCAAUUGACUUACAGAUAGUAUGGAUUGUUGGAUCAGUAGUCUCUUUGCCAAUCCCCUGAAUUCGGAUGCUAACUAUCUCUGGGGAAUGUAAAGGACGAAUUGAAAGAUGAACACUCUCAACUGUAAUCCCACCAGCCAAAACCGCUCUCAUGCUUGAUUCUGAAUUCUUCAAAAAAGUCCAACUGUACAAUCAGUGUGCAUUCUUACGUUGAAAAAUGAAAACUAACCAAACUGAAAAGGUAGCAACUUAAACCUCAAAGUCAACAACGCAACAAGUAGAGCCAUCAGGGGAACUCCUGAUACAUGCACCAGAAAUCUUUCCAAAUGUUGAAAUUGCUUGAACCAGAUCAGAAAGGCUAAGAGUUGAAGGAACAUUCUGAACUGAAAUAGAGCAAGAACUAUCCUUUCUCCCCUUCUGGUUAAUGAAUGUUGUACUAUGUACUUGUAAGGAACCCUUGUGGUUAACUGCUAAGGUAGAAACAUCAUUGUUGUCCUGAAGUUUGAAGUUUGACGUUUGAAAAGAUUUAUGAAGAUUUAGGUUAGUAUCCUUUAUGCCCGAUCUACAUUCUGCAGGAAAAGACCUGCUCAGUGAUGCUUUGCCUCCAAAGUCAGUUUUACGCUGACAAACAGAAGAACUUGACGAUUACAACACAUAGAAAACCAUUCAAACCAUCCACAGAGUGGCUCUGCAUGCAUAUUACAAUUGAAAUAUGAAUCUAGCAGACUAGUCUAUGAGUAUGGGCAUACCAAAAAAGGUUCUACUUUCUCUGUGACCAAUUUCAGUGGCAUAGCAGCAUUUCCAGCCACAGGUGGGCCUAAUUCUGAGAAGUCAUCUUCGACACUGGAAGUAUGCAUUGCCCUGACUGGGCUCUGAAGUCCUAGGUAGCAGAACCUGGUCAAAUUUGAAAUGCAAAUUAUCCAGUUUUCAAGAGAAAAAGUUGAUUUGCUAAUCAAAUAAUGUUGCAACUCAAUAAUCAAAGAGAUGCCAUUACACCAUGCCAUUCAAAUGUCUAAAUAGAGCAAGAUAAGUGUUAUGAAACUAACAUGAUACCCAAAAAUGUAAAGACCAUAGACUUGUGGUAGAUGCAAUUCCAGAAACUAAAAAGUCUUAUGUUUAAAAAAAACAAAAACAAAUAUUGUCAGAACUAAACACAUAGAUUUAUCAACUCGUUUCUGAUUGUAAUCAAACUGUAAGCGGUGACUUUGGUAAGUACUGUGUAAAAGUGGUAUGGAUGGAUAUAGCUCCCCCUAAAAGACCAUUAUAACUCUAUGAACUUAAUGACUUCAUUCAUUGAUCCACAAGCAGCUUAAAAGAAUUUAUAUGGCUUAUAUUCAUCAGAACACACAGCCGAAGCAGUAUAUAAGUAAGCUUAGUGAGAUGAUUCAGACCUAAUAAACAUGUAAGCACGCUGGAGUCAAAAAAAGAGAAGGUUUUUAACUGGCUAAUCUGAGGACCAUGCGCUGAACUGCCAGAUUUAGACCUUUAUGCCCUAGUAACUACAAAUUCGAAGGAAAUGAGAAAGCAGCUAGUCGCAUUAUCAAAGCCCAAAAGAAUGCGAGAGAAAUGUAAGAAAUAGAUAAAGAUGAAAGUCAGAAUAGAAAAUUGCAUCCAGCAUUAAAAAGCUUCCUCUCAUAACCAAGAAAUAAAUCCAGUCGUACAUUUACUUCCACUCCUAGAAACCUCAUUCAGUACAUCAAAGCAGAGAUUCCAUUGAAUUGUAUAGAAAUUCAGUGCCGUCGCAUUAUAUCCACCAAUCAAUUUAACAUGAGUAAGGGAUAUAUAUGUUCAGUACUAAAAGGACAAUUAAACGAAAUGGACAUAAGUUUACCUGCUCACAAAAUGGCAUCUUCCAUUGAAGGUGGGGAACAUUGAAGCAAGCGAAAUGGA
rnacentral:lncRNA from 1 species